rnacentral:lncRNA from 1 species
CGAGUCUGCGACGUAGGCCAUCUCAACAUCCAUGACUGUCGUCCCAUUUGGAGGUAACCAGCUACUUCGAGGAAACGCCACAAACAGCAAAAUCACUUAAUCCUACUUACAUUGCCUAUAUUUCUUCAAGUCUUUCACUUUGGGCUGCUUCUUCUGUCCUCUUUGGUAGAAUUGGAAAUAAAAGAAAGUCAUUAUUAUUCAGAUUAAUGUACACAAAUCAAAACAUUUUUAAGCACAAUUUUUUUUAAACAUUUUCUCAUUGUUGAAGGACUUGUCUGUGAACUUGUAUAUGAAGAACAGCAAUAAAAUAAAAGGGUUUCUUUGUUUUAGACCAAGUAAAUUUGACAUUUUCCCUCUCUUAUUCUUCAAUUUUUCCUGCUUCUUAAUAACAGGGACAUUGGAAAGAACCAAUCGAGCAUAUCUUUAGUUUGGCUGCAUCAUUUUUCCAUGUGGACUGCUUCCCAAAAAUGAAACCAGAUAAUCUCCAGAAAACUUCAGCAUGACAUCUCAAAGUCCCCUUCUACAGGCAUAGGCAGAAAGCCUGUAGCUGUCGUAGGUCGCUAGCGAACAUCCCAGCCGCCCGUCCUCGCGAAUCUGCGACGUAGGCCAUCUCAACAUCCAUGACUGUCGUCCCAUUUGGAGGUAACCAGCUACUUCGAGGAAACACCACAAACAGCAAAAUCACUUAAUCCUACUUACAUUGCCUAUAUUUCUUCAAGUCUUUCACUUUGGGCUGCUUCUUCUGUCCUCUUUGGUAGAAUUGGAAAUAAAAGAAAGUCAUUAUUAGUCAGAUUAAUGAACACAAACCAAAACAUUUUUAUAAACAAAUUUUUU